UUGGCAUUCUGUCCACCUCCAUUAUACCCAAUUCAGCUCGCCUUCUGUUUGGAGGCGGCCAGGAUGUCAAAC
rnacentral:pre_miRNA from 1 species